rnacentral:rRNA from 1 species
UACGUAGGGUGCGAGCGUUGUCCGGAAUUACUGGGCGUAAAGAGCUCGUAGGUGGUUUGUCGCGUUGUUCGUGAAAACUCACAACUCAAUUGUGGGCGUGCGGGCGAUACGGGCAGACUGGAGUACUGCAGGGGAGACUGGAAUUCCUGGUGUAGCGGUGAAAUGCGUAGAUAUCAGGAGGAACACCGAUGGCGAAGGCAGGUCUCUGGGCUGACACUGACGCUCAUGCACGAAAGCGUGGGGAGCAAACAGG